GGAGGUGAGCUGGGGGGGCUCCCUUGGGGUGUGCCUUAGGGAGUGAGCUGGGGGGUGCGCGCUAGGGAUGCACUUGGGGUGUGUGCACGCAGACAGCAGGAAACUGGAGAAAAGUAUGAUCAUGAGCUGUACAGCCAGCCAGGAAAACACCCCCCCCCCCCUCAUAAUUUUCUAAACAAUUAUUUCCACGUGUUCUCUUCAAUUAGUGUAACUCUGAAGCACAGAAAAACACUAACCUCAUAAGAGAUGUUCGGGAUGCUCAUAGUGAGUAAUUGUUGCCGCAGCUGCAUUAUAAUAAGAUGUUUAAAAGACGUAACUUUUUAUCAGUGUCCAGUACAAAGGGAAAUUCCCCACAUUUACACUUGUGAAUAUAUGUAUGUUCUUUCUGCCUCUCAGCAACUUGGAUUUCCCCAACUCUGUGGGAAGGCUUUUAUUUUUUAAAGUCAGUCAUUAAGAGUUGAAAAAGCUGUGUUUUGGUAUCCAUACCUCUAUUUUAAAGCGUAAUUAUUAGAUGAGCUUAGUCUUUGUUGGAAUAGCAGCUUACAGGAGCAUUUUGUGUAUGCCAUAAAUUAAAAGUCUGCUUUCUUCAAUUUUUCAAUAUACUUUCCUUUGCUUAUUUAAUAUUAUGGGAGAAUAAAAUGUCUCACUGUUUAUUACAAGACACGGAGUUUGUCUGUUCGUUAGGGAAGCACUUUGCGGGCAGACAUGAAAUGUUUGAGGCUGUGAUGCCAGCACUGGAACACAGAGAACAUGCAAAUGUAAGAAUGCCUUUGCUGGGUCAGAUGCAGAAUCUCUCUAGCCCAAUGCCCCAUCUCCAGCUGUGGCCAAAAGUGGAUGCCCAAGGGAAAAUAUUAAGACUAUAGAGAACCUUUAAUGAUACACGCUCCCUGAGUCCUCUCCCAGUCUCCAGCCAUCUGGAGGGACUUCCCAAGGCAGAGGUAGUGUCUGGUUAUUUAAUAACCCUUACUGGAUUUCUCUUUCAUGAAGUUGCUGGUCUCCCCUUGAACUCACGUGAACUUGCAUCCAUGACAUGCCGUGGCAGAGUGGCUCAGCAUAACAACAUGUUGUGUGGUUUCACCUGAAAACUCACCUUUUGUCUGCCGGCACCAUGCCACUUAGGUGCUGGGACAUGGCAAUGAGUUGAUCCCCAUGCGUCCCCUCCACAACACUCAUGAUUCUUACAACCUCUGUGUCUCUUAAGACCUGUGUUUCUCCAGGCUGAGGAUUCCUACUCUCGCAGUCCUUCAUGUACAAAGCUCUUCCAUUCUAUAACACUGCAGUUUAACGUCAGAUUUUUUACCUCUUGAGAAAAAGGGGAUGGGAAAAUGGAAGUAAUUAUCAAGCAUUCAGCCUGAUUGCCAAAAAGUAACCAAGCAAGAAAAUCCGUCACUCUUUGCAAUCAAAGAUUCAAUAUUUGACUUAGACUAAGGAAAGAGCAAUAGCUGCUCAGUACCAUGGAAAUGACAGAGUGGAAGUCAUACUACUUUGAGCUUCCAGAAGUUUCCUCCAUCUAUGGUAGCAGUUUUGUUCAGCUUCCAAAGCACGUUUUUGUUUCAGAAGAGUACUUGUAUUUUGGGUUUAGUGUUCAUCACCUCUGAUUAGCCAUAUGAGAGUCAAAGUCUGUGUUGCAGGAUCCUGAGGAAGACUGUUCUCACUGGUACCUUUUAAGACAGUAAUCCACAAGUUGGUGAGCUUGGAGAUGAAGCUAUUCACAAAACCGCUGUAGUGCAGGCUGAAUCAGUUCAGUCUUCCUCAAGUCUGCCUUGGCAGUGUGUUUGUGUCUGCAUGGCAUGUGGCAGGUGGAGCUAAGCAUUAGUUCCUUCUGAUUCCUCUUCCCACUCGGUGUGCUACCAACUGACUCCUCUUCCAGUCAGUGUCAUUUGCCACAGUUUCGGGGGUACCAGUUGCUGCAGCGUUUGGAGGACUUGCCUUUCUGGCAGUGUGGGCCCACAUCACUAACAAAUUACUACCAGAGACAGAUCCUGUUCCAUCUUCCCCUGGAUACACCAAGAAUGUUACUAUUUAGAAGUGUACCUCUUUACAGAAGUCACUUGCUCUGGGCUGAGGAGGAUGUAAGAGAAAGGUCUAUCACUAACACUUUUAAUAGCAUCUAGUCAAACAAAUAUAAUAAACCAUUUUCCUGGUCUAUUACGUUACAGAAGGGAAAACCACUAUUUGGUGUCCACGCUGCCACUUACGGAACAGAUGACGUGUCACACUGUCGGAAAGACAAGCCUUGUGAUCCCGGAGGAAGUCUCUAGUAACAAACUUGCAAUGCUUCCCU